rfam:Zootermopsis nevadensis contig11620, whole genome shotgun sequence.
GCCACGGUGGUCUAGCGGUCAGAACACUAGCCUUGUAAUCCUGGGGACCCGGGUUCAAUUCCCGGUGGUGCCC